rnacentral:rRNA from 1 species
AGCGAACGCUGGCGGCGUGCCUAACACAUGCAAGUCGUACGUGAAAUGGAGCAAUCCAAAGUAAAGUGGCGUACGGGUGAGUAACACGUAGGUAAUCUACCUUUGAGUUCGGAAUAACCGGCCGAAAGGCUGGCUAAUACUGGAUAGGUCGAGAUGCUCGUAAUGGAGUGACUCGGGAAAGUGGGGGUUAAACCUCACGCUCAUAGAUGAGCCUGCGUCUCAUUAGCUAGUUGGUAGGGUAAGGGCCUACCAAGGCAGUGAUGAGUAGGUGGUCUGAGAGGAUGAUCAGCCACACUGGAACUGAAACACGGUCCAGACUCCUACGGGAGGCAGCAGUGGGGAGUCUUGCGCAAUGGACGAAAGUCUGACGCAGCAACGCCGCGUGAGUGAAGAAGGCCUUCGGGUUGUAAAGCUCUGUCACACGGGACGAACGGCUAGAGGGUUAAUACCCCUUUAGAUUGACGGUACCGUGGAAGGAAGCACCGGCUAACUUCGUGCCAGCAGCCGCGGUAAGAC